rnacentral:snoRNA from 2 species
AACCCAUGAUGUGGAACAUCGAUCAAAAGAUCUUUGAACCUCUCCCAAGCUGCGUGUAGAGAUUCUCCUUCAUCCUGUUUGAAUGUCAUGAUACGGUUCUUAAGCUU